GUGUUUUUAGUAUAUGGAGUACACUUACCUUCCAAGUAAGAAGAUUAAGAUAAUUAAAAACAUA
rnacentral:tRNA from 1 species